rnacentral:rRNA from 1 species
CGCACGGGUGAGUAACACGUAUCCAACCUGCCGUCUACUCUUGGACAGCCUUCUGAAAGGAAGAUUAAUACAAGAUGGCAUCAUGAGUCCGCAUGUUCACAUGAUUAAAGGUAUUCCGGUAGACGAUGGGGAUGCGUUCCAUUAGAUAGUAGGCGGGGUAACGGCCCACCUAGUCUUCGAUGGAUAGGGGUUCUGGGAGGAAGGUCCCCCACAUUGGAACUGAGACACGGUCCAA